AGCAACGACUAUACCAUGUUGAACACACCGGUUCUCGCCCGAUCGUCGAAGUUAAGCAACAUCGGGCGUGGCUAGUACUUAGGUGGGUAACCACUUGGGUCACCGUAACCAUGUGUCGUUGGCA
rnacentral:rRNA from 1 species